AAUUAUACGAGUCAAAAGGACAAACAUAACACUUUAUUUACUAAAAACUAUUCAAUUGAAAAAAGCAUAGCAUGAGUUUUUUUACAAUAUAAAUUGAUGAAACAAUUUUGUAUUUGAUUCAUGCAAAGGUAGAAGAAAAAAUGGCUAAAACUCUCAAAGUCAUUUAUACUAUCAUCCUUUUUGUGUUCCUAUUUCUUGUUGUAGUCGAUGUUGGUGGUGAUCGUCCAUGUCAAGAUGACAUCGGUUGUAUAACUUACCCGUGUCCCCGUUAUGCUCAAGGAUAUUGCUCAACGGGUCGUUGUAGAUGCACAAGAUCAUCAUUUUAACAAUUAAGUUAAAAAAAGGUUAUAGUCAACCCGAUCAUGGUAAACAAUCAUUGGAACUUUUCUUGUGAAAGUGGAGUACUAGUGGCUUGUGCCUCACUUUACUUUAUGAAUUAUUUUAUUAUUGUCGUUGAUUUUGUUGUAUGAGGUGAAGUACCUCUUGAUUUAGUUAUUCCUUUAAUAAUUGUUUGUAUUUCUGGAGAUUUAAUAUUUCCACUUGUUUUAUUUUUUAGUUUUCAAAGUUAUGACUUAUAAAAUUAUUGUUAUUAUU